rnacentral:rRNA from 1 species
GAUCCUGGCUCAGGAUGAACGCUGGCUACAGGCUUAACACAUGCAAGUCGAGGGGAAACGACGGGGAAGCUUGCUUCCCCGGGCGUCGACCGGCGCACGGGUGAGUAACGCGUAUCCAACCUGCCUCUGACUGAGGGAUAACCCGUCGAAAGUCGGCCUAAUACCUCAUGGCAUCGUCUGCGGGCAUCCAACGACGAUUAAAGAUUUCAUCGGUCAGGGAUGGGGAUGCGUCUGAUUAGCUUGUUGG